UUGAUGCACGCGAGGGCGCCAGAGCCUUUGCG
rnacentral:scRNA from 1 species